rnacentral:rRNA from 1 species
ACGAACGCUGGCGGCGUGGAUUAGGCAUGCAAGUCGAACGGUAUCAGCCUUUCGGGGAGUGAGAGAGUGGCGAACGGGUGGAGUAACACGUAGGUGAUCUACCCUCAAGACGGGGACGAACCCAGGGAAACUUGGGCUAAUACCGGAUGUGAGCUAUCGCGAGAUAGUUUGAAAGGUGGCUUCGGCUGCCGCUUGGGGAUGAGCCUGCGUCCUAUUAGCUAGUUGGUGAGGUAACGGCUCACCGAGGCAGUGAUAGGUAGGCGGCCUUAACGGGUGGUCGCCCACACUGGGAUUGAGAUACGGCCCAGACUCCUACGGGAGGCAGCAGUCGAGAAUAGUCUACAAUGGUCGAAAGACUGAUAGUGCGACGCCGCGUGAACGAAGAAGCCCUUCGGGGUGUAAAGUUCUUUUAUAUGUGAGCAGUGACAUCUAUAUUAAUAGUAUGGGUGUAGAGAUAUUAGCAUAUGAAUAAGCAACGGCUAACUCCGUG